GCCGGAAUAGCUUAGUUGGGAGAGUGUUAGACUGAAGAUCUAAAGGUCCCUGGUUCGUCCCUGGGUUUUGGCA